UACAGAGGUCCCAAGCGUUGUUCGGAUUCAUUGGGCGUAAAGGGUGCGUAGGCGGCGCGGUAAGUCGGGUGUGAAAUCUCGGAGCUUAACUACGAAACUGCAUUCGAUACUGCCGUGCUUGAGGACUGGAGAGGAGACUGGAAUUUACGGUGUAGCGGUGAAAUGCGUAGAUAUCGUAAGGAAGACCAGUGGCGAAGGCGGGUCUCUGGACAGUUCCUGACGCUGAGGCACGAAGGCCAGGGGAGCAAACGGG
rnacentral:rRNA from 1 species